UCUUCAUUUCUCGUCACAAGGAGAAUGAUAAAGAAAUUAAUCAUUUCACUGCAGCUUUCAUGUUUUUACAGAACCGUACUUAGUACUGCAUAUGACAUUUGAAGAUAUCAUCAAAAGAUUUUUCUCGAUGCAAGGUGUCGGAGCCGAACACGUAGAGAGAAAAAGAGCGCGAGGUUAAAUCGACGAGGCACUCGUAAAAAUUCUUGGCCACGUCCCGGGCCCCCGAAACCUUUUUACGACUUCAUCGAACCGUUGCGUUCCUACGGCACUCGCUACUACCGCAAUAAUAUUUCGAGAGUUUGCGCUCCCCCUCUCGAAAGGGCGCACCCCAAGGACCGCGAGGGAUGAAAAACCGAGGGGUAGUCGGUCGAAUCAAUUCCAAACACGGGAGAGGCGCGCCUGUUUCAGCGGUGGGUCACGGGACUGGGUUACCGGUAUCCGAGCAGGGAUGUAACAAAUAGCGAGCAAUUUAAAUCGAGACGGGCGGAAGUUGCUCAGCAGUUUACCGGUAUUAGGCGUAGGGGAAGAUACCACCGAGGUUCGAGGAAACACAACCCAAGGGGAAACGAAAGAUGAAAAAAAAAAAAAAAAAGAGGAACGAGAGGACGGGGAUCGGAGGUGGACCACACGCACACACAACGAACGAACGUGACCGGGACGAUCCGAGUUCAUAUUGUUAUGCGGGGGUAUCCAUCCUCUUGCUGCAUUAUCGUACAGUCCGCGACAGCAGCACGUGGUCACGCUUUCCAGCACGGAAUCAAGAAGCCUACCCGAUAUCUGUUCGACCACGAUACACGGCCUUUGCAUCUUUGUUUCGACACCGACCGCUGUGUCCGCGAUCUUAACCCCUGAACCCUCGGCCAGCGUUCGUAAAAAGGCAAGACAAAUGUCCGUGGCCUGGCAAGGGUUUGAUGAAUGAAACAUUUGCAGAACAGUCGCAAACAAAUAAUAUAUUGUACUACAAAAGUAGUACACGUAGAACUAGUCGUACAAUAAACGAUAUAAUUAAUGGACAAAAAUUAUUGAAACUAUUCAGAAUUUGUUAUAUGAUUAGAGCUGUACGAUGUAUUGCACGAUUGCAAUCAUAUAAUUGACUACAUAGGCUUUGGGUCAGUGUGGGGCAAGACUGUACGGAGAUGGGAUAAACGAAUCACGUAUUAUUG